rnacentral:rRNA from 1 species
GACGAACGCUGGCGGCGUGCUUAACACAUGCAAGUCGAACGGAAAGGCCCUGCUUUUGUGGGGUGCUCGAGUGGCGAACGGGUGAGUAACACGUGAGUAACCUGCCCUUGACUUUGGGAUAACUUCAGGAAACUGGGGCUAAUACCGGAUAGGAGCUCCUGCUGCAUGGUGGGGGUUGGAAAGUUUCGGCGGUUGGGGAUGGACUCGCGGCUUAUCAGCUUGUUGGUGGGGUAGUGGCUUACCAAGGCUUUGACGGGUAGCCGGCCUGGGAGGGUGACCGGCCACAUGGGGACGGAGAUACGGCCCAGACUCCUACGGGAGGCAGGAGGGGGGAAUAUUGCACAAUGGGCGGAAGCCUGAUGCAGCAACGCCGCGUGCGGGAUGACGGCCUUCGGGUGGUAAACCGCUUUCGCCUGUGACGAAGCGUGAGUGACGGUAAUGGGUAAAGAAGCACCGGCUAACUACGU